GAAUUCCGCGCUCUGUGCGGGCGUCGGAAAAUGUGGCGUUUAGGAGGGAGCGUGCCGGGAGUCUGACCUUGCAGCAAGUCCCCCUGACCGGGGCGAUUUCCCAGAGCGGGUGCGAGGCCCAUAGCUGCUCGGUCUCUCUCGGAUGCGACCUCUUGGGAGUCGGGUUGCUUGGGAGUGCAACCCUAAUUGGGUGGUAAACUCCACCUAAGACUAAAUACGGCCGUGAGACCGAUAGCAAACAAGUACCGUGAGGGAAAGUUGCAAAGAACUUUGAAGAGAGAGUUCAAGAGUACGUGAAACUGC
rnacentral:rRNA from 1 species